UACGUAGGGUGCGAGCGUUGUCCGGAAUUAUUGGGCGUAAAGGGCUCGUAGGCGGUUUGUCGCGUCGGGAGUGAAGACCUUGGGCUUAACUCAGGGCUUGCUUUCGAUACGGGCAGACUAGAGGUAUGCAGGGGAGAACGGAAUUCCUGGUGUAGCGGUGAAAUGCGCAGAUAUCAGGAGGAACACCGGUGGCGAAGGCGGUUCUCUGGGCAUGAUCUGACGCUGAGGAGCGAAAGUGUGGGGAGCGAACAGG
rnacentral:rRNA from 1 species